rnacentral:rRNA from 1 species
GAUGAACGCUAGCGGCAGGCCUAAUACAUGCAAGUCGGACGGGAUUUGGGAGCUUGCUCCUAAUGAGAGUGGCGCACGGGUGCGUAACACGUAUGUAACCUACCUUAAUCAGGGGGAUAGCCUCUCGAAAGAGAGAUUAACACCGCAUAAUAUAUUUUUAUGGCAUCGUAGAAAUAUCAAAUAUUUAUAGGAUUAAGAUGGGCAUGCGGAACAUUAGCUAGUUGGUAAGGUAACGGCUUACCAAGGCUACGAUGUUUAGGGGAUCUGAGAGGAUGACCCCCCACACUGGUACUGAGACACGGACCAGACUCCUACGGGAGGCAGCAGUAAAGAAUAUUGGUCAAUGGGCGCAAGCCUGAACCAGCCAUGCCGCGUGCAGGAAGACGGCCCUAUGGGUUGUAAACUGCUUUUGUACCGGAAUAAACCCUUUUACGUGUAAAAGGCUGAAUGUACGGUAAGAAUAAGGAUCGGCUAACUCCGUGCCAGCCGCCGCGGUAA